UACGUAGGGUGCAAGCGUUGUCCGGAAUUAUUGGGCGUAAAGAGCUCGUAGGCGGACUGUCACGUCUGCUGUGAAAAGCUGGGGCUUAACCCUGGCCUUGCAGUGGAUACGGGCAGACUAGAGGUAGGUAGGGGAGAAUGGAAUUCCCGGUGUAGAGGUGAAAUUCGUAGAUAUCGGGAGGAACACCAGUGGCGAAGGCGGCUUUCUGGUCUGUAACUGACGCUGAGGCGCGAAAGCGUGGGGAGCAAACAGG
rnacentral:rRNA from 1 species